AAGACUAUAGACCUGCGGAGUACCUGCGGAAGGAUCAUUAGAAAAGAAAAAAAGAUCGACCUCGAAAACGUGGACGAUCAAAUCCAUACCCACCUUGUGUGCACUCAUUGACCGUUCGCUUUGGCAGGAGGGAGUCUUCGAUCGGCGAUCGAAGCGCGAGGCCCUCUCCCUUCCCCGGGAGAUCGGCACCUCGGCCUGCCAGAGUUUUUCUUUCUCGAAUUCACGCUUCUCUUGAACCUU
rnacentral:misc_RNA from 1 species